rnacentral:rRNA from 1 species
ACCGGCAGCUCAAGUGGUGGCCUUUUUUUUGGGGCUAAAGCGGUCGGAACCGGUUUGGUAAAUUCUUGGUGGAAACCCGCCGGUUAAACGUGGGACCUGCUGGAGAUACUAUCAGACUUGAGGUCGGGAGAGGUUAGGGGUACUCCCAGGGUAGGGGUGAAAUCCUAUAAUCCUGGGAGGACCACCUGUGGCGAAGGCGCCUAACUGGAACGAACCUGACGGUGAGUAACGAAAGCCAGGGGCGCGAACCG